rnacentral:miRNA from 1 species
UUAACGAUCACCAAUUUGGCU